UCCCUGUUAGCUCAGAGGUAGAGCAAUCAGCUGUUAACCGAUUGGUCAUUCGUUCGACUCGAAUACAGGGAG
rnacentral:tRNA from 1 species